rnacentral:piRNA from 1 species
UCCAGGCACCUAUUGGAUGAAGGGGGCAA